CAUAAUUUGAUUUUGAUUUUAUAUUCCUGAAAUUUAAAUAUAUUGAUUUGAAUAUGCCCAAUUUGACGUAUUUUACCGGCUUUUAUGGUGCUUCAGAAAAAACUUGCAGAACACAGUAACUUAUCUUUUUCACGAAUCAGAUUGUCUUAAAACUUGCUAGAGGUGUUAAAUAUUGUGCAUGGGACUGUUGUUUGUGAAUAGCUACGCAAAAUAAUAAGAUUUACACGCUCUGAAAAUCACCUUUUUGUCUAAAAAUCUACGAAAAACAUGGCCGCGGUGCGCAAAUAAUGAGUUGGUUAUUUCAAAAAUGUCCUAUUAUUCUUCAGUAAAACUUCUUGUUAAUUUAAGACUCUAAUAACUUGCUUGACAUACCCAUAGGCAAAUAUCUGUUAUCGGUGUAAUUACACCUUUGGAAAAAAAGCGUGAUUCGCACGUUUUAAUUUCAUCAUUCGCCGCCUGAAGAGACAAGAUGGCGGAGCUUGCGAAAUCGAAAAUUGGUACUUGAAAGUCAAUGGUUGAUCAUGAUGACCAUCUUUAAUUUAAUGGGGAAAGAUUAACCAAUAUUUGCAGCUGGAGAGGCUAUCACCACAGUUCAAUGAUUUAGUUAAGACAAUGAAAUAGAAGAACUUCAUGCUAACACUUGCAUCAGUGGAAGUACUUCUUAUUGGAUAGAGAACUUUACAAGGUCAGCCAUCAGCUUUUGAAGUUGCUUUCUUGGCACAUCAUGCUGUCCAGUGGAGUUCAUACCAUAUGCCAGGCCUUUAUACAUGGUCAAAGAAGAUGAAUUUGUUAUUCAAUUUGUGAAAUUUGAUUUAAGGAGGACUUUCAUAUAUGAUGAUUAUAUUCAGCAGAUUAUCUUCAAGUGUGCACUUCAUAGAAUCACAGUUUCUAGGAGGUUUUCAGUUUAAAGUUAGAUUAAUUGAAAAAUACGUAAACCUAUCAUACUCACCAUGGCAUCGGCAUUGGCAUUACACCAGUUUUAAGUUUUUCUUACCAGUCCAUAUUUUAAAAGGACCUUUUGAAAGUAUUGAAACUUACAACAGUAAUUUAUCAUCAUUAUACCAUGUUUUAGGCAAAAGUACAUAACUCCAUCAAGGAUUUGACUGAACUAUGGCCCUUUGAAACUUUUGUCACUUGUUUAUAAUAAUAGUCUCUAUAGGCAAGAGUUAGUAACACUGUAGAGUAAUUUGGUUGAAUUAUGUCCCUUUUGGACUUUGAAAUUGGUUCAGUUUUUGUACAAGUACACAUUUUGACAUAUAGCUUUGAAUCUUUCAACACUAAGUCUUACCAUUACAAUAAUAUAACUUAAAAUAGUUGUUCAACAUCAUCACCCACAUCAUAUGACACAAGAUGCAUAACUCUUGCACCAAAAUUUAAUAAAUUAUGCCCUUUUUUGCUUAAAAUGUACUUGUAUAGUGUUUUGAUACACUUUAUCUUUUAUCUCUCAUAUUACAUAAUAUUUUAAAACAGACUUAGUUAUUAUGCAAUGUCUUCAUCAGCCAUUGGAGCCAUUAGUUGGUGUUUAGAUCCUAUAAUUGUAAAACAUAAAAUAAAUGUUGAAAGUUUCAUAAAAGAUCGUUUCUUUAAUAUGAUUUUCCAUAUAGAAUCUAACUCCCAUCCAGUUUAAACCCAUCCAGUUUGUUAAACACUUCUUGAAAAAUAUUUUUAAAGAGUCUUAGAGUUUCAUACCCGAUAACUAUAAUUGAGCCGCGCCAUGAGAAAAUCAACAUAGUGGGUUUGCGACUAGCCUGGAUCCGGACCAGACUGUGCAUCCGCGCAGUCUUGUCAGGAUCCAUGCUGUUCACUAACAGUUUCUCCAAUUCCAAUAGGCUUUAAAAGCGAACAGCAUGGAUCCUGACCAGAAUGUGCGAAUGUGCAGGAUGUUCCGGAUCCAUGCUGGUCGCAAACCAACUAUGUUGGUUUUCUCAUGGCACGGCUCAUAUUUUUUGAUUGACCUACUUAAAUAAUUAUUAUGUUAGACUUCAUUUACCCGAGGGGUAAUAUAUCGAACGUCAUGCUGUAAUCUGACGUCAUAAUUGAUGUCAUAAUGGUCUCUUACCAGUCCAUGCGUCAACCGUUGUUUAUCGCAGAAUAUAUAGAGCUUUAUUUCCUUGUUUAUUAGUAAUCAAGGCGUAAGUCCGGGUGGUUAAAUACUGAAGCAUCAGAACGAUGAACCUUGGUAAAUUAGAAAAUGAAUAAAAAGAAGGCCUCGAUUGUUUUCAUUCUGACAUGCACAUGCACACUUCGGAGAAGGAGGGGUUUAUUGUUUUGCAGAUGUUUGUCAGUCGGUCGGUAUGCAGUCGGUUUCCGGAUAACUCAAAAACUCUUGAGCCUAGGAUCAUUAAGUUGAUAGAGAGAUUGGUCAUAUAAGUCCAACUUACAUAAAAUAUAUAGAAAAAAAAUGAAACUGUUCUAAAAAGAAAGAUUGGGGCCUCCGUGGCCGAGUGGUUAAGGUCGCUGACUUCAAACCACUUGCCCUUCAUCGAUGUGGGUUCGAGCCUCACUCGGGGCGUUGAAUUCUUCAUGUGAGGAAGCCAUCCAGCUGGCUUACGGAAGGUCUGUGGUUCUACCCAUGUGCCCGCUCGUGAUGACAUAAUGCACGGAGGGGCACCUGGGGUCUUCCUCCACCAUUAGAGCUGGAAAGUCGCCAUAUGACCUA